ACAAGGCCAGGCGCACGCAAGCCUACUUCGCCUGCUUUCUGUGGUGGUUCCGGUUGUGUGAGCAGCAAUGGCUUAGUCGCGGGUUUAAUCAUUUUCAGCGUUUUUCGCUGCUGCAACGUCCAUCUGUGCAGCCUUGUGGAUUCUCCGGCUCCUGUCAAUGAAUUGCACGAAUCCACCCAACGCCGUCUGCUUGCCGUCUGCGUUCUGCAUUGCUGACGUCUCUCGCUGAGUGCUUCGACCACUACGUUCUCGCCGCUAAAGGAUCUCGUUAGUUGGACGUGGCUGGAACUCCUGGCUUAGCCUUCCACACCUGGCAACGUCGGAUCGAUGGUGUUUUCAGAUCAGGUGGCCACGAAGGGUGAAGAAAUGACAGCGAUAUCGCAAGUACGCGCAGCCUGUGCUGCGGCGCAGCGUAAACAACACCCCGGAGGCUAGCAGGCGUCAUAGGUAUGUUCGACACGACGGUGAGUGCGUACCAGGCUGAACAGCUCUGUUAAAAGCUCUGGAGGAUUGGUGUGCGCCCCUUGCCUUUGUUUCAAGGUGAGCAGACGUGCUAAAGUGGCGCGAGCGCCACUGAGUGGUAAAGACGCGGAUUGAGCACGGCUAUGUCAGCUGGUAUACCGUCCAGGUGAAAGGA